UGCGGGGACCCGCUGGCAGGGGCUGAUCCGUACGUGUCCGAAUGGGGCAACCCACUAGCUUGAAGAGCUAGUACCCUGCGGGGGGCAAACGCGGUGAACUGAAACAUCUAAGUAGCCGCAGGAAAAGAAAACAAGUUGUGAUUCCCCAAGUAGUGGCGAGCGAACGGGGAGAAGCCCAAACCGGCUGGGUUACGGCCCGGCCGGGGUUGAAGGACCUCUUUUUAGAAACCAAUGCAAGCCGAAUGAUCUGGGAAGGUCAACCACAGGGGGUGAGAGUCCCGUAGGCGUAGGAGUUGGGGACGUAGGGGACUCCUGAGUAGGGGGGGGCCGGAGGAACCCCCUCUGAAGCUGGCGGCACCAUCCGCCAAGGCUAAAUACGACCAGAAGACCGAUAGGGCAGAGUACCGUGAGGGAAAGGUGAAAAGAACGGGGCGUACCCGGGUGAAAUAGAACCUGAAACCAGGCGCUUACAAGCGGUCGGAGCCCCCGGAUGGGGGUGACGGCGUGCCUUUUGCAUAAUGAGCCUACGAGUUACCGUCACUGGCCAGAUUAAGCUACUGAAGUAGCGUAGUCGAAGCGAAAGCGAGUCUGAACAGGGCGCAUAGUCAGUGGGGGUAGACGCGAAACUUGGUGAUCUACCCGUGGCCAGGCUGAAGGGGGGGUAACACCCCGUGGAGGGCCGAACCGAUAAGCGUUGAAAAGCUUCCGGAUGAGCUGCGGGUAGGGGUGAAAGGCCAAUCAAACUGAGAAAUAGCUCGUACUCUCCGAAAUGUUUUUAGGAACAGCGUUCAGUGUUACCAGCCUAGAGGUAGAGCGACCAACAGGAUGCGGGGGAGUCACAUCCUACCAACUUCUGAUGAACUCCGAAUGCUAGGGUGGGUGCUGGGCAGUGAGGGGUGGGGUGCUAAGGUCCCAUUCCGAGAGGGGAACAACCCAGACCAUCCGCUAAGGUCCCCAAGUGUGUGCUAAGUUGAACAAAGGCGGUCCGGCUGCCGAGACAGCCAGGAGGUUGGCUUGGAAGCAGCCAUUCCUUUAAAGAGUGCGUAACAGCUCACUGGUCGAGCGGGGCGGGCGUCGAUAAUAAACGGGCAUCAAGCACAUCACCGAAGCGGUGGACGUACACGUGAGUGUAUUGUGGUAGGAGAGCAUUCUAUAGGGGGUGAAGUUGCAGCGCGAGCUGUGGUGGACCGUAUAGAAAAGCAAAUGUAGGCAUAAGUAACGAGAUGGAGACGAGAACUCUCCACACCGUAAGGCUAAGGUUUCCUCCGCGAUGGUAGUCAUCGGAGGGUUAGUCGGGUCCUAAGGGGCAGCCGAAGGGCGGGCUCUGAAGGCAAGCGGGUUAAUAGUCCCGCACUGUCCAUGCAGGUGGCGCCAUGACGGAGCGCCGGGGGAGCUACGUCCGGCCGGAAGGGGGCGUUGAGGGGAGGCUACGGCUGAACCGAAGUUCUGAAGGGGCUUCCAAGAAAAGUGGGGUCACGCUAAGCGCAUGGGUACCCGUACCGCACACCGACACAGGUAGCCGGGAUGAAUAAUCUAAGGUGGACGAAAGAAUCAUGGUUAAGGAACUCGGCAAGAUAACCCUGUAACUUCGGGAGAAGGGGGGCCUACCCAGCGAUGGGAGGCUGCAGAGAAGACGCCCAGGCGACUGUUUACCAAAAACACAGGACUCUGCCAAAUCGCAAGAUGACGCAUAGGGUCUGACACCUGCCCGGUGCUGGAAGGUUAAGGGGGGAUGUUAGGGGCAACCCGAGGCAUUGAACUGAAGCCCCAGUAAACGGCGGCCGUAACUAUAACGGUCCUAAGGUAGCGAAAUUCCUUGUCGGGUAAGUUCCGACCUGCACGAAUGGUGUAACGAUCUGGGCACUGUCUCAACCAUGAGUUCGGUGAAAUUGUAGUAGCGGUGAAGAUGCCGCUUACCCGCCACGGGACGGAAAGACCCCGUGCACCUUUACUACAGCUUAUCAUGGAUCGCUGGUCAGGCAUGUGUAGGAUAGGCGGGAGGCAGUGAAGCGGUGUCGCCAGGCAUCGUGGAGCCGACCUUGAAAUACCGCCCUUGGCUGACUGGUGGUCUAACCCGAUGGGGGACAGUGGUUGGUGGGUAGUUUGACUGGGGUGGUCACCUCCGAAAGGGUAACGGAGGUUUCCCAAGGUCCGCUCAGGCCGGACGGUAAUCGGCUGGGGAGUGCAAUAGCAGAAGCGGGCUUGACAGUGAGGCCGACGGGCCGAUCUGGUGCGAAAGCAGGGUAUAGUGAUCCGGUGGUACUGCAUGGGUGGGCCAUCGCUCAAAGGAUAAAAGGUACGCCGGGGAUAACAGGCUGAUCUCCCCCAAGAGCUCACAUCGACGGGGAGGUUUGGCACCUCGAUGUCGGCUCGUCACAUCCUGGGGCUGGAGAAGGUUCCAAGGGUUCGGCUGUUCGCCGAUUAAAGUGGCACGCGAGCUGGGUUCAGAACGUCGUGAGACAGUUCGGUCCCUAUCUGUGGUGGGCGUUGGAAGUUUGCGGGGAUCUGUCCUUAGUACGAGAGGACCGGGAUGGACGCACCGCUGGCGGAUCGGUUGUCAUGCCGGUGGCACGGCCGAGUAGCUACGUGCGGAUCAGAUAAGCGCUGAAGGCAUCUAAGUGCGAAACUGGCCCCAAGAUGAGACUUCCGGUAUAAAGGGUUGUGCGAGACGAGCACGUUGAUAGGCGGCAGGUGCAGGGCGUGAGAGCGCUAGAGCUGAGCCGUACUAAUGAGCCCGGAGG
rnacentral:rRNA from 1 species